CAGUCGCCACGGUAAUACGAAGGUCCCGAGCGUUGUUCGGAAUCACUGGGCGUAAAGGGAGCGUAGGCGGCGCGGUAAGUCAGAUGUGAAAUCCCGGGGCUCAACCCCGGAACUGCAUCCGAUACUGCCGUGCUAGAGGACUGGAGAGGCAACUGGAAUUCUCGGUGUAGCAGUGAAAUGCGUGGAUAUCGAGAGGAACACUCGUGGCGAAAGCGAGUUGCUGGACAGUAUCUGACGCUGAGGCUCGAAGGCCAGGGUAGCGAAAGGGAUUAGAGACCCCAGUAGUCCCUGUCUCUUAUAU
rnacentral:rRNA from 1 species